GACGAUAGAUUGAAACUGCAUGAAUUGGAUUAUGGGGAACGUCUGUCUAUAGGUUCCGGAAAAGGACCUGAACGACUUAUAGGCCAGAUAGGAACUGCUCCACAACUACUGACUCAAAAGAAUACUCCCUCUAC